CACGUAGGGGCAAGCGUUGUCCGGAUUAUUGGCGUAAAGAGCUCGUAGGCGGCUCAGUAAGUCGGGUGUGAAACCUCCAGGCUCAACCUGGAGACGCCACCCGAUACUGCUGUGGCUUGAGUCGUAGGGGAGCGUGGAAUUCCUGGUGUAGCGGUGAAAUGACGCAGAUAUCAGAGGAACACCAGCGGCGAAGGCGGCGCUCUGGGCCGGAACUGACGCUGAGGAGCGAAAGCGUGGGUAGCAAACAGG
rnacentral:rRNA from 1 species